UAUUGUUUUUUGUGUGCACACUGGUCCUCAUUUACCAAUAUCUUCCUAAGUUUCUUCUUAAAUUUGUUCUUAAGAAAGUUCCUAAGAAAAGUCU